AGUCUACAAAACCCCACAUCCCCUGAGAAUUCUCUCGCCUGCCUUAGGCACUUAGGCUCCGGGAGAUUGCAAAUAACCUGCUUUCUUUCUGUUCCCGGGCUGCGUUCGGACUCCUGUCAGAUAGUAAAUCCUAAGUGGCGUCGGACCCCUGUCAGAGAGUAAAUCUCAAGUAAGGUACCUGCCAUCGGCAGAUGGGAGCUUUCUUCUUGGACACCUAAUACCCACAGUCCUCCAGGCUCCGGUAGACUGCAAAUGACCUGCUUUCUUUCUGUUCCCGGGCUGCGUUUGGACCCCUGUCGGAUAGUAAAUCCCAAGUAAGGUACCUGCCCUCGGCAGAUUUGAGCUUUCUUCUUGGACACCUAAUACCCACAGUCCUCCAGGCUCCGGUAGACUGCAAAUGACCUGCUUUCUUUCUGUUCCCGGGCUGCGUUUGGACCCCUGUCGGACAGUAAAUCCCAAGUAAGGUACCUGCCCUCGGCAGAUUUGAGCUUUCUUCUUGGACACCUAAUACCCACAGUCCUCCAGGAAUGGAACAGAUAAGAAGAUACUGAAAUUGGACGGUGCUGCCGUGCGGCUGCCGCAGGACACCUUUAAUAUCCCUGUUUCUCAGGCUGUAGAUGAAGGGGUUCAGCAUGGAGGUGAUCACCGUGUACAUCACUGAGGCCACUGCAGCCUUUCUCGGGGAAGAUGACACAUCUGAACUGAGGAUAACUUCAGGAAGUGGGUAUUAAUUCUCACGGUAUAAGUGAAGACAUUAAGCACCAGAGUUUAAGUAGCUUGAUCCACUGAAAGAGAUUCAACUGUGUGGAACCUAUGCCGUGGAGAAUUGCUUUCUGCCAUUGUUAUCGUCCAGCAGUUGCCGAAUAGCUCUGACCUGAGCAAAGCAGUGAAACGCGGUGCUGUUGAGUGGGUUGCCACUGCACCUUUUUCAACUACUCUAGUCUUGUGGAGAAAAUACCCCUUCUAAAUUUUUUCUUCAUUGAAUACUCUCCCUCAGCUCCAGAGUACCAUAUAGAGUUUUCUUGUAUUUUAGAGUUACUGUUUUAUCAAAGUUUACCAGUCUUUUGUAUUACAUUUCUCCUGUCUAAAUCGACUGUGUGGUUUCUACUCAUUAUGGAUAUAGAUUGAUACAAACUCAAUAAAUAUUUUUGAAUGAAUAA
rnacentral:sRNA from 1 species